CGGGUGAGUAAUGUAUGGGGAUCUGCCUGAUGGCGGGGGAUAACUACUGGAAACGGUAGCUAAUACCGCAUAGUGUCUACGGACCAAAGCGGGGGACCUCCGGGCCUCGCGCCAUCAGAUGAACCCAUAUGGGAUUAGCUAGUAGGUGAGGUAACGGCUUACCUAGGCGACGAUCCCUAGCUGGUCUGAGAGGAUGAUCAGCCACACUGGGACUGAGACACGGCCCAG
rnacentral:rRNA from 1 species